CCUCCAACCUUGGCCUCCCAAAGUGAUGGAAUUACAGGCACACCUCUGAUGAUUGCUGCAUGUAUUCUGCCCAGGGUUUUUGGCUGUGAUCACUGGGAGAGAUAGAAGGGACUGUAUUUGCUCCAUCUUACCCAGCUCUGCAAACCUGCUGGAGAGUUUAAUUGGCUGUUUUUUUGGAGUCUCAACUGGCAAAUUUCUACAAAGUGCUCUUCUUCACAAGACUUCCUGUUACCUCAGGACCAGAG
rnacentral:lncRNA from 1 species